UCCUUGAAGAUGUGAAUACAUUCCCCCUUACCAAGAAGCUGCCCGUGACCUGCUGCCUGCCAUUGUACUGUCUCCUCUGCGCUGGACCAUGUCCCCUCAAAUCGUGAAUCAAACACCGAUGUAACCGGCUCACACACCGUCAUGAGGACCGACCAAGGGGAUUCUUGGGAAUGCCUGGAACAUGGCUGGCUCGAAGAACCUGCCUGAUGCCCGCCUGUCUGGUGACAUUUGACUGUGGUGACAAGAGGGUGACAGUGGCUGGCCGGGCACAACCACCUGGUGGUCAAUUUGUUCUUUCUUCUUAAUUUCUCGGCACACUCCAAAGUCAGGCGUCCGCAGGGGCCACGGGAUGGAACUUUCUGGGUUUUUUGGUUUUUUUUGUUUUUUUUUUUGAAUGGCCAUGGCCAUUUCUGAGAAGCUGGAUCACCCAAUGGGGUCCUCUGAGUACACCCUCCUGUCCAUCACAUGCCUGGACCUGGGAGUGAGGAGCUACCAAGUACAGCUCGAGGUAGGGGGAGCUGUAUCACAGCCACUCUCUACAGGACUUCCUUGACAGUGACCCUGAGUUGUCUCCUGGCAUGACCAGCUGCCAGCAUCACUGCCGAAGCCACCUCUGGUACUCAGUAGAUCCAAAAA